UACGUAGGGUGCGAGCGUUGUCCGGAAUUAUUGGGUUUAAAGGGUGCGUAGGCGGCCUAUUAAGUCAGGGGUGAAAUACGGUGGCUCAACCAUCGCAGUGCCUUUGAUACUGAUGGGCUUGAAUCCAUUUGAAGUGGGCGGAAUAAGACAAGUAGCGGUGAAAUGCAUAGAUAUGUCUUAGAACUCCGAUUGCGAAGGCAGCUCACUAAGCUGGUAUUGACGCUGAUGCACGAAAGCGUGGGGAUCGAACAGG
rnacentral:rRNA from 1 species